UACGUAGGCAGCGAGCGUUGUUCGGAGUUACUGGGCGUAAAGAGUGCGUAGGCGGUUUUCUAAGUUUGGUGUGAAAUCUCCCGGCUCAACUGGGAGGGUGCGCCGAAGACUGGAAGGCUUGAGUAUGGGAGAGGUAAGCGGAAUUCCUGGUGUAGCGGUGAAAUGCGUAGAUAUCGGAAGGAACGCCGGUGGCGAAAGCGGCACACUGGAUCUCAACUGACGCUGAGGCACGAAAGCCAGGGGAGCGAACGGG
rnacentral:rRNA from 1 species